UACGGGGGGGGCAAGCGUUGUUCGGAAUUACUGGGCGUAAAGGACGCGUAGGCGGUUUGCUAAGUUGGAUGUGAAAACUCUGGGCUUAACCCAGAGCCUGCAUCCAAAACUGGCAAACUUGAGUACUGGAGGGGAAAGCGGAAUUCCUGGUGUAGCGGUGAAAUGCGUAGAUAUCAGGAGGAACACCGGUGGCGAAGGCGGCUUUCUGGACAGUAACUGACGCUGAGGCGCGAAAGCUAGGGGAGCAAACAGG
rnacentral:rRNA from 1 species